ACCUUGACAUCAUACUCCCUCCGUCUUGAAAUGUAGGUCAUUCUAGGAUUUUUCCAACAGAUUAUGGAGAUGGAGAAAAUACUCUUCUAUCUCUAAUUAUUAAGCAUUGGGACUCUAUUUGAGUAAUUUUUCUCGAACACACAGGAGAGCUGCGUAUCUUUAUAUUAAGAGAGAAAGAGCAGUCCAAUUACAAAAAAAUCAUUCCACACCUUGGACCAUAGCGAGGAAUGAUCUGAGCUAGAAAUGCCAAUUACACAAACUCACGCUUGAAGGACCUGACCAUAACACCCCUUACUACUAGACCUGCACCACCUCCCUCUCAAGGAGCAAGGCAGCAAGCCUCUUAGCCCCCGAGAGUUGCCAAAGGUGAGAUUCCUCCUGAAAGGCCUGCAGAGCCACCUGCAUAUUUGGGGCAGCCCCAUCAAAAACACAACUAUUCCUAUGCUUCCAAAGGAUCCAUGCACCCAGGAUGCACAAGGAGUUAAAGCCUUUUCUAUGCUGCUUCUGAAUUUUCCUUUCGGCCUUCUUCCACCAAUCAGCGAACACUACACUCCUUGUGGGCAUCAGUCGAUCCAGGUUCAGGGGCUUCAAAAUGGCAAACCAAAAUUGCCUAGCAAAGACACAAGAAGUCAGGAUGUGUUGGAUGGUUUCCUCCUCCUGAUCACAAAGAGGACAGCGAUCUGGGUAUGGGAGGCCUCUUUUUUGCAGGCGGUCAGCAGUCCAACAUCGAUUCCUAAUAGCCAGCCACACAAAUGUUUUACAUUUUCCAGGGGCCCAGGUCUUCCACACUUUCUUCCAUGGUUCAAAGGUGAUGGCACCAACGAAGAAGUUCUUAUAGGCUGAUCUUGAUGAAAAAAUUCCCGAGGCUUCUAGCUUCCACUGGUGAAUGUCCUUUGUGUCAUUCAGGUUAACAUUUGCCAACAUGUCCCAAAGCUCAAGAGAUACACAUUUGACAACAUUUGGUGCUAGAUCCUCAAGACGGCUGCCAUGUAACCAACGAUCAGUCCAAAAACAAGUUGUUCUACCAUUACCCACCAAAGAUUCAGUGGCUACAGCAAACAUAGAAACUGCAUUGGGGUAAACUGGAAUUUCAAGACCAGCCCAAGGCCGAGCAGCUCCAGUUUUCUCAAGCCAAAGUCAUCUCAUUUGCAGCGCCCAACCCAUGAUUUCGAGGUUAUGAAUGCCCAGUCCUCCAAGGUCAAUGGGUCUCAUUACCUUCUCCCAGGCUACUAAACAACAACCCCCAUUGGCCUGUUUCCUGCCUGACCAAAGGAUGCCUCUUCUUAUUUUAUCAAUAGCUCGAAGGAACCACUUGGGGACUUUAAUAGCGAUCAACAAAUGAAUAGGAAUUGCAGUGAGCACAAACCGUACAAGCACUGCUCGACCAGCUAAUGUUAGCAAGGAAGCUCUCCACCCUGGCAAUUUGUUUGCUAUCUUCUCGAUCCAGAUUGGUUUGCAGCCCUGAGGCUUCACCAAAACAGCGCAGAAUGUCCUUUGUGAGCUGUAAAUCUUCUUCAGUUGGUCUGAUAAACAGAGCCACAUCAUCUGCAUACAAUGAGAGCCUUUGCCCGGUGGACAGUAGAGGAGAAAGUAAUCCUUCAGCUUCAGCCUUGAGAAACAGACUGUUUAGAACAUCCAUAACUAAAAUAAAUAGCAUCGGGGAGAGAGGAUCCCCUUGGCGCAGAUCUUGCUGAUGUGAAAUAGAAUGCCCUGGUUCUCCAUUAAGCAUAAUUUGGGUGGAUGCAGCAUGUAACAAGUUGGAGAUGAUAGUUCGCCAGGCAGGACCAAAUCCCAAGUGUGAAAGAAUCUCCAACAAGAAAGACCAGUCCACUGAAUCAAAUGCCUUUGAGAUAUCUAGUUUCAAAAAGAGGCUCGCAAUUUUAUGGUGAUGGAGCACCUUAAUAGUCCGCUGCACUAGCAUGAAAUUAUCAUGAAUACAUCUGCCCCUUAUGAAGGCACUCUAGUUGGUAGCAACUAAAGUAUUCAGCAGAGGGGCCAAACGGUUUGCCAGCAAUUUGGUGACCAGUUUAGCAAAGCUGUGAACCAGACUAAUUGGGCGAUAGUCCUUUGCUUCAAGAGCUUCUAAUUUCUUGGGGAUCAGAGUUAGAUAUGCUGAGUUUAGCAGCUCCAAAUGUCUCAAAUCACCUUGAUGAAUUGACACCAAUGCAGCCAAUACAUCCGCUUUAAUAAUCUGCCAGCAGGAUUUAUAGAAACAGCCAGUAAAACCAUCUGGGCCUAGAGCGCGAUCCGCAGGCAUAGCAUUGAUGGUGGCCCAUACUUCCUCCUCAGAGAAAGGUGCCUCAAGACUUGACAGAUCAAUACCUGCCCGAUGAAAUGCAGACAAAUCCAAAGAAGCCGUUCUAUGUCUUGUCUGGCCUAAGAUUCCCUCAAAAUGCUCCAAGAGGACCUGGUGCUUAUCUUCUUGAGCCGUGACCACCUGAUCAUCAACC